rnacentral:rRNA from 1 species
AAUAGAUACCCAGGUAGUCCACGCCGUAAACGAUGAGUGCUAAGUGUUAGAGGGUUUCCGCCCUUUAGUGCUGCAGCUAACGCAUUAAGCACUCCGCCUGGGGAGUACGGUCGCAAGACUGAAACUCAAAGGAAUUGACGGGGGCCCGCACAAGCGGUGGAGCAUGUGGUUUAAUUCGAAGCAACGCGAAGAACCUUACCAGGUCUUGACAUCCUCUGACAACUCUAGAGAUAGAGCGUUCCCCUUCGGGGGACAGAGUGACAGGUGGUGCAUGGUUGUCGUCAGCUCGUGUCGUGAGAUGUCGGGUUAAGUCCCGCAACGAGCGCAACCCUUGAUCUUAGUUGCCAGCAUUUAGUUGGGCACUCUAAGGUGACUGCCGGUGACAAACCGGAGGAAGGUGGGGAUGACGUCAAAUCAUCAUGCCCCUUAUGACCUGGGCUACACACGUGCUACAAUGGAUGGUACAAAGGGCUGCAAGACCGCGAGGUCAAGCCAAUCCCAUAAAACCAUUCUCAGUUCGGAUUGUAGG